CCAGCCACACAGCACCAACCUGGACCCCCAACAGGACCAAGGAUCUACCCAGAGCCGGGCUCCUGAUGCUGGGUAUACACGUCUGCAGCAUGGUGGCACUAACAUCUACGAUACAAUCACUCCCUCAGACAAUAAUGACAAUGAUGCUGCUGCUGCUACUGCUGGACCAAGUGAUGUGAUGUACGCCCAGAUUCAACUCAAAAAGUUGGACAAGA